rnacentral:rRNA from 1 species
UACGUAGGGCGCAAGCGUUGUCCGGAAUUAUUGGGCGUAAAGAGCUCGUAGGCGGCUUGUCACGUCGGGUGUGAAAACCCGGGGGCUCAACCCCCGGGCCUGCAGUCGAUACGGGCAGACUAGAGUGCGGUAGGGGAGACUGGAAUUCCUGGUGUAGCGGUGAAAUGCGCAGAUAUCAGGAGGAACACCGGUGGCGAAGGCGGGUCUCUGGGCCGUAACUGACGCUGAGGAGCGAAAGCGUGGGGAGCGAACAGG